ensembl:lncRNA
CUCAGAUUGGGAAUGUUUUUUUUUACUCCGCCCGGGCCUGGCGUAUUUUUCUUUUUAAUAACGCAGGUUAGAAUACGGGACAUUUACGAGAAAAUACUAAUACGGGAGGACGGCGGGAAAGAAGGGUAAAAUACGGGUCUUUCCCGGCCAAAACGGGAUACUUGACAGGUAUGAGACUGAGGCAAACGCAGAGUAAAAUUGGUGUCUUUAAUGACAACAAAAGGAAAACAAAAACCGAGUGCCGUGCACUACAAAAUAUAACAAGGCGAUACAGAACAUGAAAUAAACACUGGAACAUGACAUACAACACAAUGAGUGACCAGGACAGAGAGAAAAUGGGACCGUUACAAAGUUCCUCUUCAAUGAAAGAAAUCGAGACUCAUCAGACCAGGCAAGAUUCUUCCAGUCUUCAACUGUCCAAUUUUGGUGAGUGUAUGCAGAUUUACAGUGUGCCAACUUACAACGGAUUCUCUCCAAAACCGAAUAAAGACGCUCUGAGGAUCCUAUCUUCAGAAGGAAAAUGCAUGCAGGCUAUUGCACAACGCAAGCUGCUUGAAGAGGUUGGGCAGUUUUGGCUUCCCAUUUUGAGCAGGCCAAGACCGGACACGCUCCACUGAUAUGCCAAAUAACUGUGUUCAUUUCAGAAUCUCUCAAAAGCUUGACAAAUUCAGAAUUUCGAUUCUUGCAUAUUUAGCAAUUGCCAAAUACGAUCAGUGAUUUUUUUUUUAAUGGUUACAUUGAGCUAUUUUAGCUAAUUCUUUUCUUAAUGCUCAGCCAUGUUUAUUUACAUUGCCCUGGAUUCUGGGAUUGGUAGACAUCUGACUAAAGAUUCGCAAAUCUGUACAGAAGACAAGCAAAUGUAAAUUACCAUCUGAUCUCAGAGACUCAUAACCUUUAUCUUUGGUUGAUUCGGAUAAACAAACAUGGCAGCACCCCCAAACAUACAUCUACUGUACCUUUGGGUUACUUAACUUCUAGAAAGUUUUUACACCAUGAUUUUGAUCAGUAGUCCGCUCUCCUGGGAUAUGGUGAUUUGUUCUAGUCACUAAUAUCAUUAAUUUUUGUGUCAGAGAUAUGACUGCUUGUGUAGGUACAUAAGUGACCUUUCAUGUCCUGAUUUGAACAAUUGCUUUCUCUGUUAUUGUUUGAAAAUCUACACCAUAAAAUGUAUGACAUUGAGGAAAAAGGUUAUAAACACUGUUUGAGAUAAAGUGUUUGUAAGUAAAUAAAAGUGUAGUCUGACCAGUGAUUGUUGCGUCACUUAUACUUCGACG